CGAAAGCCUGACGGAGCAACGCCGCGUGAGGGAUGGAGGCCUUUGGGCUGUAAACCUCUUUUCUCAAGGAAGAAGAUCUGACGGUACUUGAGGAAUAAGCCACGGCUAAUUCCGUGCCAGCAGCCGCGGUAAUACGGGAGUGGCAAGCGUUAUCCGGAAUUAUUGGGCGUAAAGCGUCCGCAGGCGGCCGUUUAAGUCUGUUGUUAAAUCGUGGAGCUCAACUCCAUCACGGCAAUGGAAACUGUUCGGCUUGAGUAUGGUAGGGGCAGAGGGAAUUUCCGGUGUAGCGGUGAAAUGCGUAGAUAUCGGGAAGAACACCAGUGGCGAAAGCGCUCUGCUGGGCCAUUACUGACGCUCAUGGACGAAAGCCAGGGGAACGAAAGGGAUUAGAUACCCCUGUAGUCCUGGCCGUAAACGAUGAACACUAGAUGUUGGGGGAAUCGACCCCCUCGGUGUCGUAGCUAACGCGUUAAGUGUUCCGCCUGGGGAGUACGCACGCAAGUGUGAAACUCAAAGGAAUUGACGGGGGCCCGCACAAGCGGUGGAGUAUGUGGUUUAAUUCGAUGCAACGCGAAGAACCUUACCAAGGCGUGACAUCCUGCGAAUCUCUAAGAAAUUAGAGAGUGCCUUCGGGAACGCAGUGACAGGUGGUGCAUGGCUGUCGUCAGCUCGUGUCGUGAGAUGUUGGGUUAAGUCCCGCAACGAGCGCAACCCACGUUUUUAGUUGCCAGCAUUCAGUUGGGCACUCUAGAAAGACUGCCGGUGACAAACCGGAGGAAGGUGUGGACGACGUCAAGUCAUCAUGCCCCUUACGCUUUGGGCUACACACGUACUACAAUGCUGCGGACAAAGAGUAGCGAUCUUGCGAAAGUUAGCUAAUCUCAUAAACCGUGGCUCAGUUCAGAUCGUAGGCUGCAACUCGCCUACGUGAAGGAGGAAUCGCUAGUAAUCGCAGGUCAGCAUACUGCGGUGAAUACGUUCCCGGGCCUUGUACACACCGCCCGUCACACCAUGGAAGUUGGCCAUGCCCGAAGUCGUUACUCUAACCUUUUGGAAGAGGGCGCCGAAGGCAGGGCUAAUGACUGGGGUGAAGUCGUAACAAGGUAGCCGUAGCGGAAGCUGCGGCUGGAUCACCUCCUAA
rnacentral:rRNA from 1 species